rnacentral:rRNA from 1 species
UACACUCCUGCGGGAGGCAGCAGUGGGGAAUUUUGGACAAUGGGCGAAAGCCUGAUCCAGCAAUGCCGCGUGCAGGAUGAAGGCCUUCGGGUUGUAAACUGCUUGUGUACGGAACGAAAAAGCUCCUUCUAAUACAGGGGGCCCAUGACGGUACCGUAAGAAUAAGCACCGGCUAACUACGUGCCAGCAGCCGCGGUAAUACGUAGGGUGCGAGCGUUAAUCGGAAUUACUGGGCGUAAAGCGUGCGCAGGCGGUUAUGUAAGACAGAUGUGAAAUCCCCGGGCUCAACCUGGGAACUGCAUUUGUGACUGCAUGGCUAGAGUACGGUAGAGGGGGAUGGAAUUCCGCGUGUAGCAGUGAAAUGCGUAGAUAUGCGGAGGAACACCGAUGGCGAAGGCAAUCCCCUGGACCUGUACUGACGCUCAUGCACGAAAGCGUGGGGAGCAAACAGGAUUAGAAACCCGGGUAGUCCCA